rnacentral:rRNA from 1 species
CCUACGGGAGGCAGCAGUGAGGAAUAUUGGUCAAUGGGCGCGAGCCUGAACCAGCCAAGUCGCGUGAAGGAUGACUGCCCUACGGGUUGUAAACUUCUUUUAUAAAGGAAUAAAGUGAAGCACGUGUGCCUCUUUGUAUGUACUUUAUGAAUAAGGAUCGGCUAACUCCGUGCCAGCAGCCGCGGUAAUACGGAGGAUCCGAGCGUUGUCCGGAUUUAUUGGGGUUAAAGGGCGCGGAGGUGGGUUGUUAAGUCAGUUGUGAAAGUUUGCGGCUCAACCGUAAAAUUGCAAUUGAUACUGGCAGCCGUGAGUACAGUUGAGGUAGGCGGAAUUCGUGGUGUAGCGGUGAAAUGCUUAGAUAUCACGAAGAACUCCGAUUGCGAAGGCAGCCUACUAAACUGCCACUGACAUUGAUGCUCGAAAGUGUGGGUAUCAAACAGGAUUAGAUACCCCUGUAGUC